UGAUUGGUGAGUUCUCCUCAAGAAUGUUAAUGUCUCUGACUUGAAUGGAUGUUUCCAGUUAGCUAUCUGUAAGACAGGGCUUUGAGGUUUGCUGAAGGGAGGGGUUUUAUGUGGACCUCUCUUGACCAAGAGAACCAGUACUCAAGAGGACUAGGGGAAGCUUUAUGGUUUCCUCCAAGAAAUGAUUAUUGGAAGAUGGCGAUGUGGUGAACAGACGCAAAACAGCCUCUCUGAGAUUUGGGUCCAGAUCCUGGAAUAUAGCAACACGAGGAAAAGAAGGAGGAAACUGGGGUUCCAGGACCUAGCAAGGAUCUGAAGUGAGAAUUGGAGCCUACAGGGAGAGUGAAGAGGGAGACUUCAAUGAAGAAAGAGGAGGUGGCAAGUGGUGCUUUCUCCCUGAGCCCUGACUCAUUGCAUGGGAAGAGUAACUCUAACCUGCAGAUGCACUGUGACUACUGGUGACUCCAGAGGCUUCCACAGAGAAACAUAGCAGUGGAAAGGAGCAGUGGAUGCAGUGAACUGCAGUGACUGGUGAGUUAUUUGGGUUCAGAGGUCACCCAGGAAAGGGUGAUUGGCUGGUAGUCAUCUUGGAAAGGGGCCAACUGAGCUCAAAACUCAGAGCAGCUGCCCAGUGGCUCCAACAGCAUGAGGUGGAACCCAGUUCAAGUUGGCAGGAGGUCAAAGAGCCAAGUUCAAGCUGGCAGGAGGCACAUGGGGUGUUGUAAGCUGAAGAAAAUAGGUUCCAGCUGCAUAGCCAAAAACCAGCCUGAGCUUUAGAACUACAGGUGCUGGCUUGCUGGGAUAACCCACUAUCUUGCCCUAAAUCUACAGCUGGCUUGUUGGGAUUAAUCAACACAGACAUAGAUGCUGUCUGCCUACUUUGAUAAUCAGUGACAGCAGAGACAUGCCUUGAAGUGGACAUUUAUUUCUUAUUUUCUUUUCUUGUAUUUUUUUCUUUUUAUCAUUCUUUGUUCUUGUUUUUAUAUGAGUGUGAACAUUGUUUCUAAUUUUUUGGUUGUUGGUGUUCUGUUCUUGUCUUUAUUUCCUCCCUCUCUCAUUCCCUCCUGUCUUUCUUACCAGUUUCCCAAAGUUUGCAUAAUCUUCCUUUGUCCUCUAGCCUUGCUUAUCUUUCUUCUUCUUCUAUUCCUCUCUUGUUCCUCAUAACCUCUUUUAAAUUUUCUCCCCGAGGGUAAAAUUGCCAUACUGAGGGCAUUAUUACUGUAUACAAUUUUUAAUUUUGUUUAGGGUUUUGUUAUAUAACCACAAAUCUAGU
rnacentral:lncRNA from 1 species